rnacentral:rRNA from 1 species
GAUGAACGCUAGCUACAGGCUUAACACAUGCAAGUCGAGGGGAAACGAUAUUGGAAGCUUGCUUCUGAUAGGCGUCGACCGGCGCACGGGUGAGUAACGCGUAUCCAACCUGCCCAUCACUUGGGGAUAACCUUGUGAAAGUAAGACUAAUACCCAAUGACGUCUCUAGAAGACAUCUGAAAGAGAUUAAAGAUUUAUCGGUGAUGGAUGGGGAUGCGUCUGAUUAGCUUGUUGGCGGGGUAACGGCCCACCAAGGCGACGACUCAGGUUAGGGUUCUGAGGAAGGGAACCGGUCCCCCCAACUAG